AAUGAACGCUGGCGGCGCGCCUAACACAUGCAAGUCGAACGAGAAAUCUCGAGCUUGCUCGAGAGAGUAAAGUGGCGCACGGGUGAGUAACGCGUGGGUAACCUGUCCUUAAGUCUGGGAUAAUCCACCGAAAGGUGGCCUAAUACCGGAUACUGUCCCGAGAACCACGGUUCUAGGGAUGAAAGCUGACCUCUUCGUGAAAGUUGGCGCUUGAGGAGGGGCUCGCGUGCCAUUAGCUUGUUGGUAGGGUAAUGGCCUACCAAGGCUACGAUGGUUAGCUGGUCUGAGAAGACAACCAGCCACACUGGAACUGAGACACGGUCCAGACUCCUACGGGAGGCAGCAGUGGGGANUCUUGCGCANUGGGGGAACCCUGACGCAGCGACGCCGCGUGAGUGAAGAAGGCUUUCGGGUCGUAAAGCUCUGUCAAGUGGGAAUAAGUCCCGCGUUGAAUAGACGCGGGAUCUGAAGGUACCAUUNGAGGAAGCACCGGCUAACUCCGUNCCAGCAGCCGCGGUAAUACGGAGGGUGCAAGCGUUGUUCGGAACUACUGGGCGUAAAGAGCGCGUAGGCGGCCGGAUCAGUCAGAUGUGAAAGCCCUGGGCUCAACCCAGGAAGUGCAUUUGAAACUGUCCGGCUUGAGUACGGUAGAGGGAGGUGGAAUUCUCAGUGUAGAGGUGAAAUUCGUAGAUAUUGAGAGGAACACCCGUGGCGAAGGCGGCCUCCUGGACCGAGACUGACGCUGAGGCGCGAAAGCGUGGGGAGCAAACAGGAUUAGAUACCCUGGUAGUCCACGCCGUAAACGAUGAGUACUAGGUGUAGGGGGUACUGACCCCUCCUGU
rnacentral:rRNA from 1 species